ACAGAGACUGCAAGCGUUAUUCGGAUUCACUGGGCGUAAAGGGUGCGCAGGCGGCCGUGUGUGUUAGGUGUGAAAGCCCGGGGCUUAACCUCGGAAUUGCGCCUAAAACUACACGGCUAGAGCAUUGGAGAGGGUAGCGGAAUUCACGGUGUAGCAUUGAAAUGCGUAGAUAUCGUGAGGAACACCAGAGGCGAAGGCGGCUACCUGGACAAUUGCUGACGCUCAGGCACGAAAGCGUGGGGAGCAAAAGG
rnacentral:rRNA from 1 species